rnacentral:rRNA from 1 species
UACGGAGGGUGCAAGCGUUAUCCGGAUUUACUGGGUUUAAAGGGUGUGUAGGCGGGCUUUUAAGUCUGGGGUGAAAUCUCCGGGCUCAACUCGGAAACUGCCUUGGAUACUAUUAGUCUUGAAUUAUGUUGAGGUUGGCGGAAUAUAACAUGUAGCGGUGAAAUGCAUAGAUAUGUUAUAGAACACCGAUUGCGAAGGCAGCUAACUAAGCAUAUAUUGACGCUGAGGCACGAAAGCGUGGGGAUCAAACAGG